rnacentral:lncRNA from 1 species
AUGAAUUCAAUGCAAUAUAAUCAGAAUUACGCCCAACUUGAUGACAACUCAGUAGAUGUCAAUAAAUUACGUGCCUUCCUCAGCAACUCAGGAAUCCACCUGACUGAGAAAGAAACCCAAGAGAUACUGAAGCACACUCCAGUUGACGGUGAGCCCUUGGCUAUCCCUGUGGUCUGUUGGUAUGUGUGUUACAGCUUUGUCAGGAGGCUUAAGGAUUAGCACAUAUGUUUAAAAGGUAUUUCAGAUCAAAGCCCCGUAUAAUACUUUCUUUAAUCAUUUUGCUAACCAUUGCUCUUCAGUCUUAUUUCUCAUAGCUGAUGUAAAUAAUUUAUCAUUCAAAAGAAUAUAAGAUUCUCCAGGGCAAAGAUUUAUUUCCUUUUUGACUUUGUAACCUAGCACAUUGCCUGCACCCAGUGGCACUUAUUGAAUCACAUUUCCAAGCCUGGCAAAGUAAAAUGAAAUUAUAUCUUUGGUUUUGAAAACAAAUGUCAAAGCACUGUAACAUAAAACUUUAUGGCCAAAUAUAUGGAAGGGUAGAAUCUAUAUGCUGUUUAAAAUUCUGGAGGUUAAUGACUUUAUGAGUCUAAUAGGAAGGAAAUAUAAGAAAACAUUGAUUGAAGAGAGCUUGACAAAAUUUAGUCCAAUCAAUUUUAUUAAGUGCUUACUAUGUGUCAGGAACCAUGCUUAAGAGCUAGGGAUAUGAUUAUUAAAAAGAAAGACAGUCCCUGUGCUCAAAGAGUUUAUAGUCUUAUGGGUGGGAUAGACAAAAACAGAAAAGACAGAAAAGCAGGAUGGAAAAGACUAGGGGGUUACCUCAUCUCCAGGGCAUCUUGAAGCCAGGCAGAGCAGCAGAUGCAGAAUGGAGUGAUUAUAAUAGACUGAGCUGGAAUGGCUGGUAGGCAAGUAGGUUUUCCUUUCCCUCCUUUGUAUUUUUACAUUCAGCCCUUUUGACUGUGGGAGGAGACAUUCAAGGUAGAGAGAAGCAGUGAAAAAGGACUACCAGUGUAGAUUGUCACUUUAUUCUCUUGCUUCCUCCAUUCCCUUUGUCAAUAUGACAGCUCAUGCAGUAUGAGUAAAUCCAGCAAAGCUAUCUUUAGAGCAUACUGAAAUGGGCAGCUUAUGAUGCUCCCAAAACAAGGAAUCUGAGCAAGGAAGGACUCAUGUAGCCAAAUGGAAAAGGAUGCAGUAGGCUACAUUGACAACUAAAUAAGCAUUAAAA